AUUGAACGCUGGCGGCAUGCCUUACACAUGCAAGUCGAACGGUAACAGGUCUUCGGAUGCUGACGAGUGGCGAACGGGUGAGUAAUACAUCGGAACGUGCCCGAUCGUGGGGGAUAACGAGGCGAAAGCUUUGCUAAUACCGCAUACGAUCUACGGAUGAAAGCGGGGGAUCUUCGGACCUCGCGCGGACGGAGCGGCCGAUGGCAGAUUAGGUAGUUGGUGGGAUAAAAGCUUACCAAGCCGACGAUCUGUAGCUGGUCUGAGAGGAUGAUCAGCCACACUGGGACUGAGACACGGCCCAGACUCCUACGGGAGGCAGCAGUGGGGAAUUUUGGACAAUGGGCGAAAGCCUGAUCCAGCCAUGCCGCGUGCAGGAUGAAGGCCUUCGGGUUGUAAACUGCUUUUGUACGGAACGAAAAGCCUCUUUCUAGUAAAGAGGGGUCAUGACGGUACCGUAAGAAUAAGCACCGGCUAACUACGUG
rnacentral:rRNA from 1 species